CGGAUGAGGAUAGGGAGGAGGAGUAUGAUACGAGCAUGUAUCAUUUCAGUGAGCACGUACCUCCAGCGCGGGAGAGCAAGAGCUUGAGUGAAGCUCAUAGAAACAACAGUAAGUUGCAGAGGUGGUGCAAGAAACAAGAUAGGCUACUUAUCAAGUGCUUCAAAGCCAUCACGUUUCUGACGGACAAGAUAAGCUGCUUCUCUUCUACUACAGCUAUUCCG
rfam:Arabidopsis thaliana chromosome 5, complete sequence.